GACAGAGGUUGCAAACGUUGUUCGGAAUUACUGGGCAUAAAGCGCACGUAGGCGGUCCGUUAAGUCAUGUGUGAAAUCCCCCGGCUCAACCGGGGAAUUGCGCCUGAUACUGGCGGGCUAGAGGUCGAUAGGGGUGAGCGGAACUCCAGGUGGAGCGGUGAAAUGCGUAGAUAUCUGGAGGAACACCGGUGGCGAAAGCGGCUCACUGGAUCGAAACUGACGCUGAGGUGCGAAAGCUAGGGUAGCAAACGGGG
rnacentral:rRNA from 1 species